AAAGGUGAAAAGUACCCCGGGAGGGGAGUGAAAUAGUACCUGAAACCGUUUGCUUACAAACCGUUGGAGCCUCCUUAGUAGGGGUGACAGCGUGCCUUUUGAAGAAUGAGCCUGCGAGUUAGCGAUACGUGGCGAGGUUAACCCGUGUGGGGUAGCCGUAGCGAAAGCGAGUCUGAAUAGGGCGAUUCAGUCGCGUGUCCUAGACCCGAAGCGAAGUGAUCUAUCCAUGGCCAGGUUGAAGCGACGGUAAGACGUCGUGGAGGACCGAACCCACUUAGGUUGAAAACUGAGGGGAUGAGCUGUGGAUAGGGGGUGAAAGGCCAAUCAAACUUCGUGAUAGCUGGUUCUCUCCGAAAUGCAUUUAGGUGCAGCGUUGCGUGUUUCUUGCCGGAGGUAGAGCUACUGGAUGGCCGAUGGGCCCUAGGUUACUGACGUCAGCCAAACUCCGAAUGCCGGUAAGUGAGAGCGCAGCAGUGAGACUGUGGGGGAUAAGCUUCAUAGUCGAGAGGGAAACAACCCAGACCACCAACUAAGGUCCCUAAGCGCGUGCUAAGUGGGAAAGGAUGUGGAGUUGCUUUGACAACCAGGAGGUUGGCUUAGAAGCAGCCACCCUUGAAAGAGUGCGUAAUAGCUCACUGGU
rnacentral:ncRNA from 1 species